GUCCAUUUUUUUUACACUAUCAGCUGAGAGUAGUCUUCGUCGUUCCCAAGCAAAUGAAUUGAUGGACUGGCUAAAAACUGUGUUGGCUGGACGAUGUUGGGGAGUGAAGGCUACUUCUCGUCUGGAGUCGCAUCCAUGUGUCAUCACUGUGGAAGAGAUGGGUGCAGCAAGACACUUCGUACACACUCAAUUUACACAGUACCCGAAGAGACCAGAUACUCACUUUUGCAGCCACAGUUGGAAAUUAAUCCAAGCCAUCCAACUAUUAUGAAGCCAAAUGAGCUACGUAACAGCAAUCCAUGAUUAGCAGAACUCACUGCCAAACAGGAGUGUGGCACGUGUGGACAAGUGUUGGAUCAGAGGAGUCAAGGUAAAGUG